rnacentral:rRNA from 1 species
UAUUGCACAAUGGGGGAAACCCUGAUGCAGCGACGCCGCGUGAGCGAGGAAGUACCUCGGUGUGUAAAGCUCUUUCAGCAGGGAAGAAAAUGACAGUACCUGACCAAGAAGCCCCGGCUAACUACUUGCCAGCAGCCGCGGUAAUACGUAGGGGGCAAGCGUUAUCCGGAUUCACUGGGCGUAAAGGGAGCGCAGGCGGCACGGCAAGUCUGAUGUGAAAACCCGGGGCUGAACCCCGGGAGUGCAUUGGAAACUGCCGGGCUGGAGUGUCGGAGGGGUAAGCGGAAUUCCUGGUGUAGCGGUGAAAUGCGUAGAUAUCAGGAGGAACACCAGUGGCGAAAGCGGCUCUCUGGUCUGUAACUGACGCUGAGGUUCGAAAGCGUGGGUAGCAAACAGG